AUAAAUCCAGAUGCAAAUUCGCUUCUUUUGCCUCACCUAAUAUUGCUAGCCAAUAUUUUGUUGUGUUCAUGAAGUUGUUUGUGCUUUCAGCCAUGUCAUUCGAUAUGAAUGUAACAUAUUUUAUUAUGUGUGAUCAUUCAUUUUUGUGCUGCAAGCCAGUGCCUCUAACAAGGCCUGUUAGGAGUCUUGAAAUGGAUAAAUUAAUUGUGCUCACAACGGUUUUUGCUCUGUACUCGCCUGGUCUGGUUGUGCUGACAAAAUGUUUUUCCUCUUUUUCAGAAAAGAAGUCUGCACAAUACUGUUACAAUAGGAACACAACACAGGUGCUUUGGAAAAGAAGUCUGCACAAUACUGUUACAGUAGGAACACAACACAGGUGCUUUGG